GGAUUGGUGGCCGAGUGGCUGAAGGCGCACGCUUGGAAAGCGUGUAAACGGUGACGUUUCGGGGGUUCGAAUCCCCCUCAAUCCGCCA
rnacentral:tRNA from 1 species